UGCAGAGUAGUUUAUUUAAAAUUCUUAUUUUACACGUAAGGGAAUCCUCUUGUUUGGACUUUGUGA
rnacentral:tRNA from 1 species